AUUAUUUCUUGGCCUUUUGGCUAAGAUCAAAUGUAGUAUCUGUUCUUUUCAGUUUAAUAUCAUUAUGUCCUUAAAACUGUAUAUAUGAAAUACAUGAAAUUUGAUUUCUU
ensembl:snRNA U2 U2 spliceosomal RNA